AGUUGAUCAAGAGCUUUUCCUUCUAACACUCCUAUUCCCAAGAGGCCUGGAGAAAGCUCCUGUCAAGCUGCCUGUCGGCUGCAGCAAACUCACCAGCACCAGAUCCUGAAGGAGGUUCUCUCCUUCCCGUAGCUUUUGGCUAUCAGCUUCAUUUCAUCUAGAUCACAAACAGAACUUUGGCAAAUAGAGACAACAGGGCAACAGCGUGAUGGAGACGAGAGCUGAGGUAGCCGUCCUUGUCUCUCAGACGUCACAGACCAGCUGGGUUUCCAGCAACAUCCCAGACCAUACACCACCCACCCAGGGUGAAAAGGUGAAAAUAGCUCCAGGCAGGUGUCUGAAAUCCAUGAUAGGAUACAAAAAUAACAAGAUCGUGAGUACAACAGCUCUCUCCUCUGAGCUUUUAACAAUCUUAA
rnacentral:lncRNA from 1 species